rfam:Aureimonas altamirensis strain ON-56566 NODE_1, whole genome shotgun sequence.
CCAGCCGGCCGGGCGACCGCUGCCGCAAGGGCCGAAAGGCCGCGGGAGAGGAAAGUCCGGGCUUCACGGAGAAACGGUGCCGGGUAACGCCCGGCGAGGGUGACCUCAGGGAAAGUGCCACAGAAAGCAAACCGCCGGCGCGCCGCAUGGCAGGCCGGUAAGGGUGAAAGGGUGGGGUAAGAGCCCACCGCGCGCCUGGCAACAGGCGUGGCAAGGUAAACCCCACCGGAAGCAAAACCGAAUAGGAACGACACGGCGCUCGCGCCAGCCUUCUCCGGGCCCGUCGUUCGGGUAGGUUGCUUGAGGCGCGGCGCGAGCCGCGUCCCAGAUGAAUGGUCGCCGCCCGGCCGCACGGCCGGUGCACAGAACCCGGCUUACAGGCCGGCUGGCUCC